UCCUCACAGCCCCUGAGUGCACAGGUCAUCACCAUGGGCUGGAGCUGGGUCAUCUUCUUCCUGGUGUCAGCAGCCAGAGGUGUCUACUCUCAAGCUCAGCUGCAGCAGUCUGGAGCUGAGCUGAAGAGGCCUGGGGCUUCAGUGAAGGUGUCCUGCAAGGCUUCUGGUUACAGCUUCACAAGCUACUACAUACAAUGGGUGAAGCAGAAGCCUGGAAAGGGACUGGAGUGGAUUGGACGGAUUGAUCCUGGAGAUGGUGAAACAAAGUACGCUCAGAAAUUCCAGGGCAAGGCCACAUUGACGGCAGACACAUCGUCCAACACAGCUUUCCUGGAGCUGAGCAGUCUGACAACCGAGGACUCAGCCGUAUAUUACUGUGCAAGGCACAGUGUGGUAACCCACAUCCUUAGUAUUUCAAAAACUCUGAAUGAACAGGAAACUGCCCUGGAUCUGAGAUGUCAGAGAAGAUUAUCCUGA